CACCCUCGUGCCCCAUUGGGGAAAUUCAAUUUGACGGCCACGCCCCUAGAAGAGGCCCCGCCCCUCACGGGCCUAGGUUGUAGGGGUUUGCAGACUUGGGGCCACUGUUCAAGCGGCCUUCGCUGGUCGGGUGGGCGUCACCAGGAGGAUGCAGCUUUGCGCCAAAGUCAGGGAGGGCGCCCAAAGCCGCGCCACGUGGCUUGUGGGAUCUUAGUUCCCCGACCAGGGAUUAAACCUGGGCACUUGGCAGUGAGAGCUGAGUCCUAACCACUGGACCGCCAGGGAAUUCCCAACUUAGAUGUCAUCUUAUUCUCCAGAACAAGGUUCAGCGCCCUGCAAAGCCAACUCGGUCCUAUUCAAACCUCGCGCGCCCAUUGGAACAGCCUCCUGGGGCGGGACAUACGUAAGCCACCUGAGUGGCGGCUCUUGGCUCCAGUGAAUGGCCUGCUUCGUACUAGCUCUGCCCCCACCCCCCAGGAGGGAGGAACGGCACAGAUAAAGAAAACAGAGCCUCCAAGAGGUGAUGCAGCCGGCCCAGUCACACAGCCAUCAGUAGUUGAGCAGGAUUUGAACCCACAUCUUCUUGACUCUAGAGGCCGGGCUCUGAACCACUGUGUUACAGUCACCCCAUUCUGGGGCCUCUGCUCUCGAUCCCAGCUGCCAUCCUGACUCAGCAACUGUGGGUGGCCUUGCUCCGGUGCAUGGGCAGCAGAGCCAGUGAGAAGCCUCCCAGUUCCUUGAAAACCAAAUAUGGCCAGACCAGGCCCUCGCAGGCCCGACUCCAAGGCUGGUCUUCCUCUUGCCUGCUCCUCUGUACUGUGGGGCCCUACUCCCUGUGCAACCUCCUGGCUCUGCCCCAGGGGACUCUGGGAGAACCUCCAUCCAGAGGGCCCUCCUCAUAGGAUCUUGUUGAGCAAGUUACUGAAGGAGAACACGUGAGACCAGUAUCUCUUCCGUUCUGCAGUAAUUCCCAACUCCAAGCCUUUGCUCGUGCAGUCUCCUCCACCUGGACUUCCUCUCCCUCUCUAACCCGCUCUUAGGCAUUCUUUGGGGCCCAAUGUGAGCUAUCAGGGAGGGUUACCUCCUGACUGUAUGACCUGGAGUAAAUCUCUCAUCCUAUCCGUCUGUCUGUCGGUCCGUCCAUCCACCCAUCCUUCCAUCCAGUGGGCACCUACCUGUGCCAGGCAUUUUACAUAUAGUCUCUCCUUUCAGACUAGAAGCUCCUUGAGGAUUGCAGACCAAGUGUAGAAGAUAAUUGUUCAACUAAUAUCCAUGGGCCAAGUCCUGUCCUUACUACAGUCCUGGCGAGGCUCUUAUCAUUAUCACCCCCUUUUCACAGUUGGGAAGACUGUACUCAGACAGGGGAAGUCCAAGGGACUCAGCAGAGAUGAGUGGAGCUGAGACUUGAACCCUGUCUGUUGGACUCUGGAGGCCAAGUUCCUAACCACUAGGCAGUACUGCCCAACUCCUAAUGGAGGGAGUUGGUGGUGAGAGUCAGGUCCUGGGACACCACUUCUCCUUCAGUUCUUGGCUCCCUGAGUAGUCCCCUUAACACAGCCUGAGGCAGCUGUACCUCACCUACCUUCCUAUUCCGUACCUCUGUGACCAGAGCUGGUCUGACACUUGCCAGGGUGGCUGGGAAAGCAUUAAUUUUUUCCCUUGCCUCCCCGCGACUGAGACUUUGAGAAUGCCUGUCCCGUCUCAGAGCCCACAA